UACGUAGGGUGCAAGCGUUGUCCGGAAUUAUUGGGCGUAAAGAGCUCGUAGGCGGUCUGUCGCGUCGAAUGUGAAAACCCGGGGCUCAACUCCGGGCUUGCAUUCGAUACGGGCAGGCUAGAGGUAGGUAGGGGAGAACGGAAUUCCCGGUGUAGCGGUGAAAUGCGCAGAUAUCGGGAGGAACACCGGUGGCGAAGGCGGUUCUCUGGGCCUUACCUGACGCUGAGGAGCGAAAGCAUGGGGAGCGAACAGG
rnacentral:rRNA from 1 species